GAAUCAUGAACAAAUCAACUCUUACGCUUGCAUUAUUUGUAUCAUACAGUGCUUCAAGCUUGGCAACUAAAGGUAUUUUUUCGGGAAACGCAACGAGGGAAUCUGAUACGACGUUGCUCAAGAGGCCGCAGAAUGUUUUCCUCUUGGGAACAUCGAAUGAAGUACAGCGUGGAACUCAUGCGACAACGUGCGUUAAAGCAGCAUAUAGGUACCAUAAUCAUUACAAUAAUGAAUAUGAAUGGGAGCUAUUUAUCGAGCAAACGAGCAAGG